CCGUGGCGACACGGGAGGCAGGGUAAACCCCACCGGGUGCAAGACCAAAUAGGGAAACGCUUGAGGGCUGCCCGUCCGAUGUUUCCGGGUAGGUUGCGCGAGGUGCCGGGUGACCGGCAUCCUAGAGAAAUGAUCAUGGUCUGCUGCGGCAGAAACAGAAUUCGGCUUACAGUCCGCCCCAUUUU
rnacentral:RNase_P_RNA from 1 species